AACUAACAACUAAACAACACUCGAGUUUUCCUUCCUUUUCUACAUUCUACCGAUUGACAUUGAAGAGUGAUAUUCAUCUCGACAAAAUUCGGUGGUGAUGGCUACCUGCUCGCUGCUGUUUGUAUCCCUGUGUAUUUUAAUGGACUCCGGGAUUUGUAGCAUUGUUGUUCCUUGGAACACACAAUAUAGUAUGGGGUAAAGAUCUUGAAUGUGAAAAAAUCAACGAGAGAAAGGAAAACACGACGGAAUACAACCCGACAGCGCUGACUCAUGAAUAUUUUGUGGAUGUAGAAAUCUCCAAGGACAAACGAGAGGUUUUUGAGAAAACAAUUAAAAAGGACAUCUGCAAUCUCCACUGGUUACCAACAGUCUCCAUCAUGUUCAUAAGAAUUAUUUGUUCACUAGGAAUUUUGUCGAACAUGAAGUUUUAUCAAGGACGUGACGUGACGACCAGAACCAUCAUAUUCCUCCCGGUAAUCCUGUUGUCCAGUGUUAAUCUCUUAGCCAUUUGCAUCAUGCUUUGAGGAACAUUCGAACAUGAUUUUGUCAACGAGUCAUCUCUACUGGAAGAUCACCGAUUCAUUUACCUCGUUGGAGUGGAAGAAAUUAUCGCGCCAUGAUGUAACUCCAAUUGACUACCAUUUCAAAGGAGAUCUACACUGGCAAAUGGAACGAAACCACUCGACAAUAGCUCACUAUUCAACCAGACAAUGUGCUCCAUACAAAUGUACUUAUUCAAACACUAGACCCACUGAACUUUUAAACUGAGAAUGAUUAUGUUGGAGCUGAACAUAAUUAGAGAAUUUUCUUUGAACAUCUUCAUCUUGGCGUUUUUAAUUUCUUGGAAAUAAACCUCAAAAGACAGAA